rfam:Schistosoma mansoni, Puerto Rico, WGS project CABG01000000 data, contig: 0076
GCCCAGCUGACGACUCCGAAAUAGGACGAAACGCGUGUCAUGCUGGAU